rnacentral:lncRNA from 1 species
CGGCACCGCGCGGCCCGAGGCGGGUCUUGAAGCACUCGUUUUCCCACUCGUUUUCCGGGGUUCCCCCGCGGUGGGACAGUGAGCAGUUCAGGGCGCCGCAGCCGAGGCCUUCCUCCAGGAAAGGUUUGCUGGCUCCUGCCUUAGAAGAUGAGAAAGUUUGUGAUGGAUGGAGAAGAGGAUCUUCCAGAAAAUAACCAGGGCUUUCCAGCCACUGGAUCC